UACGUAGGGGGCAAGCGUUGUCCGGAAUCAUUGGGCGUAAAGAGCGUGUAGGCGGCCCGGUAAGUCCGCUGUGAAAGUCCAGGGCUCAACCCUGGGAUGCCGGUGGAUACUGUCGGGCUCGAGUCCGGAAGAGGAGUGUGGAAUUCCUGGUGUAGCGGUGAAAUGCGCAGAUAUCAGGAGGAACACCAAUGGCGAAGGCAGCA
rnacentral:rRNA from 1 species